GAUAAACGCUGGCGGCGUGCCUAAUACAUGCAAGUCGAGCGAACGGACGAGAAGCUUGCUUCUCUGAUGUUAGCGGCGGACGGGUGAGUAACACGUGGAUAACCUACCUAUAAGACUGGGAUAACUUCGGGAAACCGGAGCUAAUACCGGAUAAUAUUUUGAACCGCAUGGUUCAAAAGUGAAAGACGGUCUUGCUGUCACUUAUAGAUGGAUCCGCGCUGCAUUAGCUAGUUGGUAAGGUAACGGCUUACCAAGGCAACGAUGCAUAGCCGACCUGAGAGGGUGAUCGGCCACACUGGAACUGAGACACGGUCCAGACUCCUACGGGAGGCAGCAGUAGGGAAUCUUCCGCAAUGGGCGAAAGCCUGACGGAGCAACGCCGCGUGAGUGAUGAAGGUCUUCGGAUCGUAAAACUCUGUUAUUAGGGAAGAACAUAUGUGUAAGUAACUGUGCACAUCUUGACGGUACCUAAUCAGAAAGCCACGGCUAACUACGUGCCAGCAGCCGCGGUAAUACGUAGGUGGCAAGCGUUAUCCGGAAUUAUUGGGCGUAAAGCGCGCGUAGGCGGUUUUUUAAGUCUGAUGUGAAAGCCCACGGCUCAACCGUGGAGGGUCAUUGGAAACUGGAAAACUUGAGUGCAGAAGAGGAAAGUGGAAUUCCAUGUGUAGCGGUGAAAUGCGCAGAGAUAUGGAGGAACACCAGUGGCGAAGGCGACUUUCUGGUCUGUAACUGACGCUGAUGUGCGAAAGCGUGGGGAUCAAACAGGAUUAGAUACCCUGGUAGUCCACGCCGUAAACGAUGAGUGCUAAGUGUUAGGGGGUUUCCGCCCCUUAGUGCUGCAGCUAACGCAUUAAGCACUCCGCCUGGGGAGUACGACCGCAAGGUUGAAACUCAAAGGAAUUGACGGGGACCCGCACAAGCGGUGGAGCAUGUGGUUUAAUUCGAAGCAACGUGAAGAACCUUACCAAAUCUUGACAUCCUUUGACAACUCUAGAGAUAGAGCCUUCCCCUUCGGGGGACAAAGUGACAGGUGGUGCAUGGUUGUCGUCAGCUCGUGUCGUGAGAUGUUGGGUUAAGUCCCGCAACGAGCGCAACCCUUAAGCUUAGUUGCCAUCAUUAAGUUGGGCACUCUAAGUUGACUGCCGGUGACAAACCGGAGGAAGGUGGGGAUGACGUCAAAUCAUCAUGCCCCUUAUGAUUUGGGCUACACACGUGCUACAAUGGACAAUACAAAGGGCAGCGAAACCGCGAGGUCAAGCAAAUCCCAUAAAGUUGUUCUCAGUUCGGAUUGUAGUCUGCAACUCGACUACAUGAAGCUGGAAUCGCUAGUAAUCGUAGAUCAGCAUGCUACGGUGAAUACGUUCCCGGGUCU
rnacentral:rRNA from 1 species